CAGUAGUAAAAGAGAAGAAUCGGCACCUCCCACAAGGUUAGUCUUCAUUUCAACAACUUGAGAAUUAUAUAGGUGCCAUAUAUGCUAGCAGCUUUGACGUUUUAGGGCUCACCAGAUUAGGGUUUUCUGAGUCAAAGAUUAGGGUUUUCUGAUUCAGGUUGACUGACGAAGCUUUUCUUCUUCGUUAAUCUCCUACAAUUCACUCUGCUUUGUCUCUGCGAUUUAGUAGUUGUCGCUCGCGUUUCGCUCUCGCUCGCUUUUCCCACUCGCUCGCGUUCGCAGUCGGCCGCCAUCUCGCCGGCGAUGGUCGCAUUUUCGUGUAAUCUGUUUCGCACUCAUCUGCGUAUCAACAGGUGCCUAGAAUGUGUUACUGUUUGUCUUUAUGAACAAGUUAGAAUGAUUUUCGUGAAGAAAGAAAGUAUGGUAUGUAUGAUAAAGUUGUGGAGUAUAUAUAAAUGAUAAUGUAGUGAGUGAUGUCUGAGGAUAAUACUUGCUUUUCCAGAGUUGCCAUUAGUUCGUUAAACCCUUCACUGGUGACUAUUGGUUCAAGAAUUUGUGGUCAUCUAUGUUCGGACAUUAUAGAUGAUACCCUCCACAGUCCAUUUAAGAAGCCAAAAAGCUGCGUCUACUAAAUAAAAUAUGAAAUUACUAUUGCUAUUAUCUACUGAAUAAAGAGAAUAUCUACUGAAUAAAGAGAAUGUGAAGAAUUUAAAAUUAUUAUUACUAUUAAAAUAGUUCAUUUCCUUUUUUAAUUCAUUGUGAAUUCUUAUUUAUAAAGAUAAAGGUUAAUUUCCUUUUUUAAUUCACUGUGAAUUCUUAUUUAUAAAGGUAAAGGUUAGAGGGGAUGUGAGGUAUUAGAAUUGAGGAAUAAUGUUUGAUAUUUUAUUUUAACUCAUACACAAACUAAAUGAGGUUUUCUCCUUUUAAAAAUGAAUAUUUCGAUACGAGAAAUUGUGCUUCUUGGUGGUAUCGGCCGCGGCUCGCGAUGGUCGGGCUCCCUCAUGCGGCGAAGACGCGACGGAAGAGGAGAGAUUUCGCCUCGACUGGCGACAGCUCCGGCGGCUCGCGGCUUCCGGUCGGGUGGAGGUUUGGACGUGCAGCUGGCGGCGACCGGUGAUGCUAGUGGGAAUCCUGGCCGGAUCGAGGCGCGGCGGAGGUGAAACCCCUCCCUGGGUGGCCGGAUUGAGGCUCGACAAUGACGCGAUGGUGGCUGGUCCGGAGAGGCAGUGACGCCGUGGCAGGUGGUGGCUCCGACGGAGUGGUGUCGCCGGCGAUGCCGAUCUGGCGGAGGCGGCAGCGUGCGUGCAGAGGUGAAGCUAUUCAUCGGAGUUCUAGGCUGGGAGAAGAAAGACUUGUUUCUCGUGUUUGCAGAUGGAAGAAUGAAGAAGGUGUGAGUAGACCCCUAAUGGGUUUCUGAAUAAAGACUCUUUUGGACCUAGCUUUGGGCUGCAUCCUCUCUUCCUGCCACAUGCACAAUUCCAUCCGCACCCUACUCAGUUUGGGCUUAAGCCCAUCCGUUUCUAAAAAAAAAGGGGAAGAAAAUAAGAAUUGGGCCUGACAAGUAAAUACUCAAUGGCACUCCCAAAUUUCAUUCUUACACCCUGGCAGAUCCAAAGUUGGAGAAGAGGGUUUUGGCCCAAACAAAAGAGUCUCAUUUUUUUCUCCGCACCCCUGGGUUCCAGUGGUAGAAGAGGAGAAUCGGUACCUCCGACAAGGUUAGUGUUCAUUUCAACUACUUGAGAAUUAUAUAGAUCUAUUAUGCCAUAUAUGCUAGCAGCUUUGUCGUUUUUAGGGCUCACCAGAUUAGGGUUUUCUUAUUGACGAAGCUCUUCUUCUUCGUUAGUCUCCUACGAUUCACUCAGCACUGUGCUUUGUCUAUGCGAUUUAGUAGUCGUCUCCUCGCAUUUCGCCCUCGCUCGCUUUUCCCCCUCGCUCGCAGUCGCCGUCAGCGGUGGUCGCGUCGUGCCUCCUUCGGUGGUCGCACUGUUUCUCCUCUGUUCGUGUGAUCUGUUUCGCACUCAUCUGCGUGUGCCUCUGUUUCACUCAUCUGUUCACAUCCCUUUGUUCGUGUCCUUCGUGUGGUUUAAUGUAAUGAAAUAUUUUUUUCUGAAAAGUAGUAAGCCUUUGUUCUUA